GACGAACGCUGGCGGCGCGCCUAACACAUGCAAGUCGAACGGAGCUGAGAGAAGCUUGCUUUUCUUAGCUUAGUGGCGAACGGGUGAGUAACGCGUGAGUAACCUGCCCUGGAGUGGGGGACAACAGUUGGAAACGACUGCUAAUACCGCAUAAGCCCACGAUCCGGCAUCGGAUUGAGGGAAAAGGAUUUAUUCGCUUCAGGAUGGACUCGCGACCAAUUAGCUAGUUGGUGAGGUAACGGCCCACCAAGGCGACGAUUGGUAGCCGGACUGAGAGGUUGAACGGCCACAUUGGGACUGAGACACGGCCCAGACUCCUACGGGAAGCAGCAGUGGGGGAUAUUGCACAAUGGGGGAAACCCUGAUGCAGCGACGCCGCGUGGAGGAAGAAGGUUUUCGGAUUGUAAACUCCUGUCGUUAGGGACGAUAAUGACGGUACCUAACAAGAAAGCACCGGCUAACUACGUG
rnacentral:rRNA from 1 species